CUUUUUCAAUACCCUCUGCUAAUCCCCGCCACUCAACAGUUCUCCCAGGACCAAGCUCCUUUUCUCUGAAUACUUAACAACACACUUGAACAGUUCUAAAACUUUUGACAGUAGAGAAAUGUGGGUGUAUUCUCAUUUUGAACUCACAGGAAAGAUGCAGGAUCGGCGAGGUGCUGAGGCAGCGAAGUGUCAAUCAUGCAUGUGAACACACACACACACACACACUCACACACAGAGUCGGAUUUCCUGACAGAGGGUAGAAACUCUCCAUGACUGUCAUGGGAGGGAGCAGAGACUUUUCUCUUCUCUCAUGUCACUUUUUGAACAGAACCCACUGCUGUGACAUGUGUAGGCAGCAGGUCUCAUCCCGGGAACAGCCCGACGGCCUGGGAGCCGGCAUUUCUGAGCCACUCGCAAGCAGAGCAGGCAGGCAGGCCGGCCCACAGGUGCGGGGCCCACCUGAGGAAGCAGGAAGGGCAGGAGGGCCGCCUUCCCCUUCACUACUUGGGAAUCCUGCCAUCCGUCCAGCAGAGUGGCCGGGAAUACACCAACGGUGGUGAUUUUUCCAGCACUGACAAUUGCUGGGGUGAGCCGUGGGCUGCUCUGAAUUCAGCUCUCCUGCCGAAUAGAUUCAAUCGAGGUCUCCAAGUGCCGACGCUCAGCGCAGAGCAGCUCCGUUCCACGUCAGUCACCCACACCGCUCUGGGCUCUUUCUCAGUGACGGGGAGGAAUGAGUGGAGAGUCUGCUGAUGCACUUGGUUCCUUGCUGUCCACGAAAUAACAGCAAAUAAGUACAAGAAAGAUGAGAGCGAGAGAGAGAGAGACCGUGAGCGCAAGAAUUACACCCGGUAUGGAAGACGACUCUAAAUAAUGAACUUCUCUUGAGGCAAAAGAGAUGCCCCUCGAACUAACUGAGCUUUAACUUAAUGGAACCCAGACAGGAGCUGCAUGAUCCAACUUCCUAUCCAGGGAUUCUGAGAGGCUGAACAAUUCUAGCCAAGAAAACGAUUAUAAUAUUGAUGAAAUCAAAGCAUCUAGAAGACCGUGCAUUCCAUUUUUAAUCUAGCUGAGAUGGCAUAAUUCAUACCUCCUCAAAUUUGGACAAUUAUAAAUGACUCAACCAGCGAGUGCCAAAUUCCACCUACACCCUGAGUAUACCUGAAGCAACCACCGAAACCCAAGCUAAUCGCCAGAUGUAUGCUCACUGAGUGGGUAACUUACCUAACCUUGAGCUCCAUAAAGUACUCUCCUGAUCUUCUGGCGAAUAAUUCAGCAAACGUCUUUCGUUGCUUGAGAAUGCCCUGGGAGGCCUCCUUCUUAUCCUCAGUAAGCUUGUCAGCAUGUUUCUUCCAAGCACAUAUAGCACUUCCCCAGAGAGAUCUAACAAAAUAAAAAGUUU
rnacentral:lncRNA from 1 species